rnacentral:rRNA from 2 species
UUUAAAUGGCUGCAGUAUUUUAACUGUACAAAGGUAGCGUAGUAAUUAGUCUUUUAAUUGGGGUCUUGAAUGAAUGGUUUAACAAGAAAUUAACUUUAUUAAGUUAAAUUUAUGAAUUUAAUUUUUUAGUUAAAAAGCUAAAAUAUUUAAGUGGGACGAUAAGACCCUAUAGAUCUUUAAUUUUUUUACUAAUAAAAUAUUUAAGUGAAGAUUCAUUUAAUUAGUAAGAAAUUUUUUGUUGGGGUUACAUUAAAAUUUUUAAGACUUUUAAAUUAUUUUACAUUUAUAAAUGAAUAACUGAACCUAACUUUUAGGUUGUUAAAAUAAGAUACCUUAGGGAUAACAGCGUAAUAGAUUUGUAUAGUUCUUAUAAAUAAAUUUGUUUACGACCUCGAUGUUGAAUUAACUUAAAGUUUUGGAGCAGAGGAUAAAAUUUUAGGUCUGUUCGACCUUUAAAAGGUUACA